ACACAAGCAUGGAUUAUCUCCAAUAAAGAGAGGUUGCCAUUUGAAAAGGAUCUACACGGUGGUGCAAGAAGUAAUCCUGUCGAGUCCAGCAAUGAGAAGGUGAAAGUGUCAACCUGUGUAAAAUUAAUAUUGUUUUGUAUUUACAAAAUGUUGUGUUAAACCUAUAUAUCCUAGCCAAUAAAUUGCAAAUUAUUUAAAAUGUGCCUACACCGACCUC